CUCUUCUCUUGUCUGCCACCAUGUGAGGCAUGACUUUCUUUCACCUUCUGCCAUGAUUGUGAGACCUGCCCCAGCCACAUGGAACUAAGAACAGUAAAACAGACUUGUUAUUGGCAGCCCAUUAGUGCUCAGGAGAGGCGGUCUCCAGCAUGACAUCAGCCGGCGGCUCGACCCAAAUCUAGUAUUUCACCAGAGAGCCUAACGCUGCUGGCUUUCCAACUGUGUGGAAGACGAUACAGGCGUAACAAAGACAAGGAUGAAAUAAGUCCUGUGAUGGAGAGACAAGCAAAAUUCUACCUGACUUCACAGGAGGAAGAAGUGUGCUGUGCCAGGGGGAACAGGAGAAAGCUUCAUGGAAGAGAAGCAAACAGUCUCCAUUCAGAGAGCAGGACCACACUCUGGGUUCUUGUUUAAGCGUUUGACGUGCACAUGAGACACCUAACAAAGCCUGAAACUAAAUUUAUUUUUCACUACAUCUCUCUGUUCUGGAGCCUGUGGUAACCACCUCCCUCAGAAUCUCUCCUGGGACACCUGCCCACCAGCACCAUCCAAAAGCACAGUACUUUCCAGUCCAGAAGUCCUGGCAGAAGCUUAAAGGUGAGACAUGCUGUGCCCAUUGCAGAUUAUGGCAGUAGCCAUUUGCUAAGGAGACUGAAGCUCUCUUUUGCGCUGGAGAGCCAAUGCUUUAGAAAACACUGCUGUGGUGGACAAGUGCAUGGCCCUGACAUCUGAGAGUAUUGUGUCAGGGCUGAUCUUCAUACACCCAAUAUCUACAAACAGAUUUGAUUCAGAAAAGAACACAGGCAAAGCAACAUCUGCUUAUCGUCUUGAUUCUCUGGAGCAGUUAAUCCUUGGCUCUGAAUGAAAACUGGGAAAACAGAGGCUUGGAAGCCAGAUGCUACAAAUGAGGAAAUGCAUUGCUUUGUCAUUGCUGAAUGAACCCCCUGUCUUUAACUCCAGCUCCCUGCAUUUGGGGUAAAUAAUCUCACUGAGCAACUUGAUUAGAUCUAAGCCACGCAUUUAGUUUUUCCUAAAACAUUUUUGUCACAGCCGUGAAGAUGUGAACGAAGCAUCUACACAAGUGACUAGGUGUACACAGCCCAGCCUCACCUGAUGUGACCUUCAGUCAGAGAAGCAGAAGAUGCCUACAGACUGGCAAGUGCAUGGAACCAGCCCCAGGCUAAACAGUGACUGCUAAAAGGCUGUUAAGUGUGCAAAGGAGCUCAUCCCUAAAGGUGGGAUUCCAGGCCCUGAGACAAAGUGGAAUAAGGCAGAGCCAAAGCAUGCUAAGUGAGAAAUAGUCCUCCCACCAUGUGAGAGUACGCUGGGCUGCCUUUCCAUUUUAAAGAAUUGCCUUGGUGAGAUGUCUUCAGUUCUUCUGGCAAAGCUGUUUGCAUAUUAGCCCUGAAGCUUGUGCAGUGAGGCAGGAUAGAGGAAUGGGAACAGCUGGAGCCAGAGAGACCUGCUGGGAAUCUGGGCUCAGCCACUUUUGACCUGCAUGGUUUCUUGCAAGUCAGCUCAGAGCUGGACCAAAGCAGCUGUCGAUCCUUUGCCUCUUUGCACUUUGGAGCCCAGUCCUGAUGGGACCAGGUGUCAGAGCCCUGCCAAAUCUGUGAGAAGGGUGGAAGCAAGUUUCCCUGAGGGAAAAAAAAACAACAAAAAAAAACCUUCUGGAAUUGGGAAAAAUUUAGGUCAACAUCAUUUGAACCUUGACCUCUUGCUCUUUUGUCCCCGGGUGGACAUUUCCUUGACCUCCAGAAAUUCCUCCACCUCAAGGGAAGACUUCUUGCCCCCCUCACUUCCAGAGGCCUCCAAAGUGGGCUGGGAAGAGAUUUAAAGCAGGACCCUGGGAAGCAUGAUGAGACUCUGGAGUGUAGAGAGGCUUCCCUGCAAUGCAAAGAUCUUCAAAGGCCAAGCCCAAGGCACUGCAACCCCCAGGAGGGCCCACUCCAAAGCAGAACAGUGGAGGGAGAGCCUGCGUGUCAAGAAGCCUGGACAGCAAGACCCCCUACUGUGGCAGCCAGCCUGCUUGUAGGAGUCCUGAGAAGCCUAAUUCAAUUACCCUUAUCAGAAUGUCUCUGAACUUAACAAAGCAGAUAAUGAGUUCCAGAGACAGAUACUGCUUGGGGGGCCAAAAUUAUUUUGCUUCCCCAAAUUGGAGGCUGAAAUUGGAGAUGUUUGAAUAAUGGAAAACAUAAUCCUUCCCUAGGCCCAACCCCCUCCCAGUACCCACACCUGAGACACCCUUUCAACCAAGGAGCCUGGAUUCAACAUCCAUGCCGUCUCUCCUCCUGAAGACACCUGGUCAUGAACUCGACCUCUUUCCCCCACCAUCUUUGUGCCAUCGAUGGAAGGAAGCUGCGUACAGGAUGGAAGUGGGAGGGGAAAGGGAUUAACAUUUAUGGAGCCCUCCCCUCUAUGUGUCAGCUACAUAACACAUAGCAUUCAUUUCAACCACAGAACAUAUGUCUUUACAUUACAGAAGGCAACGGAGAACUGGAAAAGUUAACUUACUGCCUGAGGACCCAUCCCCAUCUCACCAGCAGCACAGUCAGAUUCAGACACAGGUAUUCAACUUUGCAACACACUGUGCCUCACGGCCUGUGUGCUCAACAUCAGAAAUCAAAUAGAAACUCCCUCAUUCUAAGAUUCAUAGCCAUCCUCCGAGAUAUGACAUAGCGACCUCUCCUCCGUGAACAGGGAAACAGACUGAGAGGAUAACCUAACUCUCCCAAGGCCAGAGUAUCCACUGGGAUAUGCAGCCAAGUCAGCCAGCAGUUGAAACAAGGGCUCUCUGUGCUAUCUCACAUCUGAAUUGAAUUGUUUCCUACAGACUUCUCAUAGCUCUCUAGGCAAGGAAUACAUCUUCUCACCUUCCCACACUAAGAAAGGCCUCUGUCUGAGCCUGGGUGCCGGGUGGCCAGGAUUCCUGCUGAACGUUCAGGAGCUUUCCAUCUCCAGAGGUGAGCUCCUAGUUCCUGCUUACCUUAGAACUGUAGAACAUAUAAUGUUACCACUGAAAAGAACCUCUCGUAUAGUUGGAUCACACCCUUUACCUAUUUAUUUAAAUGUACUGUUUUAAUUAUGUAACAUUUGAUAUGUGCAGGAUAAUAUGUAUGCAAAUUAUAAAGCAUAAUAAUAAAACCUGUGAACCCACCACUCAACCUUAGAACCAGACCAUUACAAUUGAUGUCCCUCCUACUUCCCCAACAGAAAUAACCACUGUCCGGGACUUUAUGUUUAUAGCCCCACCCCCCACAAUGAUUUUUAUAGUUUUGCCAAAUAUGUUAGCAUGGUAGAUUGCAUUAUUGCUCUGAGUUAAAUAUCCUUCCUUUGACAUAUAAUUUGGCAGUUCCUUCCAUUGGAAGUGAAAUACAUUUCUCUGCCCAAGAUGUUAGAUUUGCUUUGGUCAGUAGAAUGUUGCAGGCUGUGACGGUGAAAAUUCUGAGCCCAGGCCUUAAGAGGAAUCACCUGUUUCCACAUUCCCCACUUGUAUUUCUGCCUCUGCCAUGAGAAAAACAUGCUUCAGGUCACCUGCUGCUCCAAGGAGGAUGAGAGACCUAUGGGGAAGACCUGGACCCAAUCUGAAGUUAGAACUAAGUGCAACUGAGCCCAGCCUGGAUUAACCAACUCCCAGCCAAUCCACAGACACCUGGCUCUGCGAAGGCACGCGCUGAAAAUCACACAGCUGGAAAUGGUGAAUCCAAGCUGCCCAGUACCAGAGGGCGGGCACUUAACCCUCCACACACCCCAGUCUUUCCAGUAGAAACUACCUCAACAGGCUGUGGUAGGAGUUAGACGAGAUGACACAUAUGAAUCACUUGGACACCAUGUUCAGCAAGUGGGACCUCCUGACAGCAUAAGAAGUUCAGAGCUCAAAGACUUUAACCUGUCCAAACUUCAGCACUAAGGGAGACCGAUUAUGCUGUAUGACCUUGGGAAAAUCACCUCACUUCUGGGCCUCAGUUUCCACGCAUGUAAAAUGGGGAUAAAGAAACAACCCAGCUCCUGGGAUUGAUAUGAAGACUGCAUGAGAUGAUACGCAGGACACCCGUGGCACAAUGCAGGGCUUGCAGUAAGAGCUCAAUAAAUACCACCUGCUAUUUGUCUAUAAGUGUGUUUAGCAACAUCUUUGAAUGGAAUCAUAUUGUGCAUUACUUUUUGUAACUUUUUUUCACUCAUUUAGUGUGAUCAUUAAAUAUCCUUCGAG
rnacentral:lncRNA from 1 species